UCCCAAUAUGCCCUGCUGCGGAGUUGUUUACUGCCCAGGAAAGAACACAGUGCAGAGACGCUACUGCUCUGUUGCCAUUUGGGAAACUUUUACAAGUUGCGAAGAUCAAACGGGGGCACGGGGCAAAGAAAGUGAUUACAGUAGUUUGUACUCCGGGGCCCGUUCAUAUUCCAGAACCAAGCCUGAAAGACUGGGAGUCCUCGCUGUGGGCAAACAGUCAAAUAAAGGCUCUGUAGCAAAACCGUUCUCCUACUCCUCGCAAAAGAACACCUAGCGCACGCGCACAUAGGUUUCUUGCGCACUGAAGAAGUUUGUCCCUAAUCGGUGCACGUCAGGACGUUGCCAAGGAAGAGCGCGGGGACGCUGAAAAGGGCCGAUAGUCGCUAUGGCCACCACCGCGGACUCGCUUUGGGAGGACAGAGAUGUCCGUUUCGAUAUCUCUUCUCAGCAAAUGAAAAUGAGACCAGGAGAAGUUCUCAUUGACUGUUUGGAUCCUAUUGAAGAUACCAAAGGAAACAAUGGAGAGAAAGGCAGACUUUUGGUAACAAACUUACGGAUUAUUUGGCAUUCCAUAGUAUUGCCUAGAGUCAACCUCUCUGUUGGCUACAAUUGCUUUGUGAAUACAACAACAAGAACAGCUAACUCGAAAUUAAGAGGACAGACAGAAGCACUUUAUAUAUUAACCAAAUGUAACAAUACACGUUUUGAAUUUAUAUUUACAAAUGUGGUUCCUGGGAGCCCCAGACUUUUUGCAUCAGUUAUUGCAGUACACAGAGCUUAUGAAACAUCAAAAAUGUAUCGUGAGCUUAAGCUGAGAUGUGCAUUAAUUCAAAACAAGCAGUUGAGAUUGUUACCAAAAGAACAAGUAUAUGACAAAAUAAAUGGUGUCUGGAAUUUAUCUAGUGAUCAGGGAAAUCUGGGUACAUUUUUUGUUACAAAUGUAAGAGUGGUUUGGCAUGCUAAUAUGAAUGACAGCUUUAAUGUCAGUAUACCGUAUCUACAAAUUCGCUCAGUAAAGAUCAGAGACUCAAAAUUUGGUUUGGCACUUGUCAUUGAGAGCUCCCAGGCGACUGGUGGUUAUGUGCUUGGAUUUAAGAUUGACCCAGUUGAAAAGCUAGAGGGAACAUCAAAAGAAAUAAAAUCACUGCAUCAAAUUUUUUCAGUUAAUCCUAUAUUUGGAGUAGAUUAUGAAAUGGAAGAAAAGCCUCAGCAGCUAGAAGAUCUGACAGUGGAACAGAUACAGGAUGAUGUAGAGAUAGAAGCAGAUGAGCAGACAGAUGCUUUUGUGGCUUAUUUUGCUGACGGGAACAAACAACAGGACCGUGAGCCUGUUUUUUCUGAAGAGUUGGGACUUGCAAUAGAAAAACUAAAAGAUGGAUUCACACUGCAAGGACUCUGGGAAGUAAUGGGCUGAUAUUAAUUUAAACAAUAUUUAGUGAAUCUGUUUAAUUUCUAAAAGCCAUGUCAUGAAGAGGCUACUGCUGCCUGUUUUAUGGAGAUUAUUGUAUAUAGAAGAAAACUAUUACGAGAAAGAGAUGAUAUACAGUGUAUAGUCAUUUUAUAAUAAGAUCUUAUAUUUGUAAGAUAUGCAGUGUACUGUUUUGUAUUUAUAUAUAUUGCUUUCAGUGGUUACAUUUAAAAUUAUUUGCUUAUUUAGCAUAUAUGUGUUGAACACAUAUGACUGUCAAUAAAAAUGUAUUAAGGGAAUAAGUGAAAGAAUAUGUGCUGUUUCUGAAUCAUUGCUGCCAUUAUGGUACUUAUAAUAUUUUUGCAAAGUAUUUUCAAGUUGUGACCCAGUCAUUAUAUCUUAUUCCUAGUUCAUUCCACUAAAGUUCUGGACAUUCCGUUACUCUGGAUGCUUGCUGGAAAAUGAGAUUCAUUCAGCUAUGAGAGUCUGCAUGUUUUGGAUCAUGCUUGAGUAACAUGAACAUACUGAAGACCUACUUCAUAAUGACUACUUUGUUCCUAAUUCUGCAACCUUACUGACUCUGGGUUCUAACUAUAUGGUACAAGUAAGCUUGGUGAUUCAGUGUGUGUAACCAAGUAAAAGUAAUUCCCUAGUGACUAAAACCAACAGUUGCUUCUUUCAACCCAUAACAGCUGCAAGCUCUACUCUUCUUUCCA